UUUUUUCUUAAUAGAAAAAUUGUUAUAUUUGCUUAAUAAUUACUAUUGGAUUUCAUUUUAUUUUAUUCUUGUUACAGUAGUGGUGCGUUUACGGUGGGUUUGCUACCGGCGUGGGUUGAUGAUUUGGAAGAAAUAGCGGCAAAUAUUCAACAAGCUAAGGUCAAGAUGGCGGAAAAAUUGUUAUAUUUGCUUAAUAAUUACUAUUGGAUUUCAUUUUAUUUUAUUCUUGUUACAGUAGUGGUGCGUUUACGGUGGGUUUGCUACCGGCGUGGGUUGAUGAUUUGGAAGAAAUAGCGGCAAAUAUUCAACAAGCUAAGGUCAAGAUGGCGGAGUUAGUCGAAGCUCAUUCCAAGGCUUUAAUGCCUUGGUCGGGGACGGCAAAGAAGAUCAACGCGCGAUUGAGGUUUUGACCAAAUAAAUUACAGAUCUAUUAAGGAGAUCGGAAAAGAGAUAGCGAAAGCUUUCGAGCAAUGGAUCUUCCGAGGAUUCCAAUCUCAGAAAAAAUGUACAGACCUCCAGUGCCUAUCGGUGGACUUGCGGUGAAAGCAAUCAACGUUUUUGAAACGGCUACAGCAGCAAAAGGAGGUUUCUUUGGAUUGACAUUUGGGACAGGAUGGUGUUAACGUGCAGAUGAACUUGAAUGAGUACAGAUACAGAUUGGAAGACGGUGAAUUCUGUGAUGUGUUACGCCAUUUUCUUAUUUGUACAUUUCGAAUUGCAACUGUUUCGGUAACGGAUAGGUGGAUUGAUUUCUAUAAUUAGGAUUUAGGUGUUAAGGGAUUUCAAUCUCUACUGCAAAGUGAGUGAUGCCGUUGUAAAAAUAUAGAUCAGAAGGAUGUCGAACCCUAGUGAAGUGUAAAUUAUGGAUACUUUUGGCAUUGGAGUGCACUUUGAAAAACAACUACCUGUUUUGUAAAUGUUUGAUAUAUAAUAGACUGCAAGGCCUGAAUCAUUUACGAUUGAAUUCAACCAGUUGUAGGGUCUAGUAUAGAUAACAUGACGGUUGCUAAUGUAGGGUUUUAAUGAGCACCAAAGGAGCAAGCUGAAGCAGAGUUCGUUCUCAACUGUAGAACGUGAGAGAGAUCACUCAGGUAUCUGGAUGCAUGUUUUUUAUUGUUUUAAUGGUAGUUCUCAUCUAAUGAAUAUAGUCCUUUUUGUAGGUUGUCAAGUCAGUAAAUGAGCUUGCUCAAAUCAUGAAAGAUCUCUAAGUCCUUGUGAUAGGCCACGUUUAAUACGCAUCUUUGUAUUAUGCUAUUAAUAGUGGUUGCUUGGUACUUGCUGAUUUAUUUAUCUAAUAUCUUCUAUCAGGGCACAAUUGUUGAUCGGAUAGACUACAAUAUCGAAAAUGUUGCUACAUCAGUUGAUGAGGGCUUCAAACAGCUCCAGAAGGUUCUGUAUUUCUGCCUCUCACCAAUACAUGCGCACCCACAGACAAACUUUUUCCCUUAUAUUGCAUCCAUAUCAUGAACAAUUAUUUACACUUCCAAAACCCUUGACUACCCAAAGACCACAUGUCCUCAUUUAAUACAUGGUUUCAUCUGAAUUCAAUGUGUAUGGUGUGUGUAUUAAUUGUUAUUGUUGUCCUUAGAUUAUUGUAGUUUUGGCAAAAUUUCAGAGUUAUGCAUAAGACAAUAACGUUUCGUAUAUCGCAAUGCAGGCCUAGCGAACACAGAAGAUGGGGGGGAAUGGUGAUGUGAGGGACAGUGCUUGUUAUUUUAUGCUUCAUCAUGAUAGCCCUUUUGAUCCUCAAAGAGUCAUUCUUGAGAUCUCGUUAUCGUACAGUAUGACAGCAGUUUAGCAUCCUAGUUUGACAGUUUAACAUGA